rnacentral:rRNA from 1 species
AGAGUUUGAUCAUGGCUCAGGAUGAACGCUAGCUACAGGCUUAACACAUGCAAGUCGAGGGGAAACGAUAUUGGAAGCUUGCUUCCGAUAGGCGUCGACCGGCGCACGGGUGAGUAACGCGUAUCCAACCUGCCCAUCACUUGGGGAUAACCUUGCGAAAGUAAGACUAAUACCCAAUGACGUCUCUAGAAGACAUCUGAAGGAGAUUAAAGAUUUAUCGGUGAUGGAUGGGGAUGCGUCUGAUUAGCUUGUUGGCGGGGUAACGGCCCACCAAGGCAACGAUCAGUAGGGGUUCUGAGAGGAAGGUCCCCCACAUUGGAACUGAGACACGGUCCAAACUCCUACGGGAGGCAGCAGUGAGGAAUAUUGGUCAAUGGGCGAGAGCCUGAACCAGCCAAGUAGCGUGCAGGAAGACGGCCCUAUGGGUUGUAAACUGCUUUUAUAAGGGAAUAAAGUGAGUCUCGUGAGACUUUUUGCAUGUACCUUAUGAAUAAGGACCGGCUAAUUCCGUGCCAGCAGCCGCGGUAAUACGGAAGGUCCGGGCGUUAUCCGGAUUUAUUGGGUUUAAAGGGAGCGUAGGCCGGAGAUUAAGCGUGUUGUGAAAUGUAGACGCUCAACGUCUGCACUGCAGCGCGAACUGGUUUCCUUGAGUACGCACAAAGUGGGCGGAAUUCGUGGUGUAGCGGUGAAAUGCUUAGAUAUCACGAAGAACUCCGAUUGCGAAGGCAGCUCACUGGAGCGCAACUGACGCUGAAGCUCGAAAGUGCGGGUAUCGAACAGGAUUAGAUACCCUGGUAGUCCGCACGGUAAACGAUGGAUGCCCGCUGUUGGUCUGAACAGGUCAGCGGCCAAGCGAAAGCAUUAAGCAUCCCACCUGGGGAGUACGCCGGCAACGGUGAAACUCAAAGGAAUUGACGGGGGCCCGCACAAGCGGAGGAACAUGUGGUUUAAUUCGAUGAUACGCGAGGAACCUUACCCGGGCUUGAAUUGCAGAGGAAGGAUUUGGAGACAAUGACGCCCUUCGGGGCCUCUGUGAAGGUGCUGCAUGGUUGUCGUCAGCUCGUGCCGUGAGGUGCCGGCUUAAGUGCCAUAACGAGCGCAACCCCUCUCCUUCGUUGCCAUCAGGUUAAGCUGGGCACUCUGGGGACACUGCCACCGUAAGGUGUGAGGAAGGUGGGGAUGACGUCAAAUCAGCACGGCCC